UACGUAGGGUGCGAGUGUUGUCCGGAAUUAUUGGGCGUAAAGAGCUUGUAGGCGGUUUGUCGCGUCUGCUGUGAAAUCUCAAGGCUCAACCUUGAGCUUGCAGUGGGUACGGGCAGACUAGAGUGUGGUAGGGGAGACUGGAAUUCCUGGUGUAGCGGUGAAAUGCGCAGAUAUCAGGAGGAACACCGAUGGCGAAGGCAGGUCUCUGGGCCACUACUGACGCUGAGAAGCGAAAGCAUGGGGAGCGAACAGG
rnacentral:rRNA from 1 species